rnacentral:lncRNA from 1 species
GGAUCAUGAGACUAUCCUGUGUAUCCCACAAAGAAGACAGGCAAGAUUCCUUGGCUGAUGCACCUCCACAGAGGUCUCCUUCUCAGCCAAGCCUCAGGGAAUUGUGGCAUUCAUGCUGUACCCGUGAUCUGUUCCCACUGGAGGAGGAGAUGUCUAGACUGUGAUGGGGUCUCUGAGAACUGCUCUUCUGACUUUAUUCCUGAAAGAGGCUGUGUGCAAGAAUUGAGUCCCAGGGGGACUGGAAUGUUGUCUGGUGAAUGUGUGGGACCGCAUCCACCCCUCACCAGCUUGUAUCCUCACCUUUAUCUGAUGUUAUGGCUGCUCAAAGUAUCUGUCCCAAAAUGAAAUUCCAAGACAAUGAAGGAGUGACGUGAAGGUCCUGCUCAGCUAGGAACUGAAUAUGAAGUAAAUUCAAGGGGCCCUGAGGACUGGACUGCUAGUGUUUCUCCAUGGGAUGUACACUGGAGAAUAAAGCAGUGAAAUAUUUCUGUUAAAAAAAAAAAAAAAAAAAA